rnacentral:rRNA from 1 species
CAGUCGCCGCGGUAAUACGUAGGGUGCAAGCGUUAAUCGGAAUUACUGGGCGUAAUGCGUGCGCAGGCGGUUCGUUAAGACAGAUGUGAAAUCCCCGGGCUUAACCUGGGAACUGCAUUUGUGACUGGCGGGCUAGAGUAUGGCAGAGGGGGGUAGAAUUCCACGUGUAGCAGUGAAAUGCGUAGAGAUGUGGAGGAAUACCGAUGGCGAAGGCAGCCCCCUGGGCCAAUACUGACGCUCAUGCACGAAAGCGUGGGGAGCAAACAGGAUUAGAUACCCGCGUAGUCCCUGUCUCUUAUAC